AUUAGACUGUGGUCAGAAGAUGGUAGGGGAAGGGAAGAGAGAGGCAGACCAAGAAACAGACUCUUAACUACAGAGAAUAAACUGGUAAACAAAAACAUAAUUCAUCACCAGAUCUGCACUAAAAAUAAUGCUAAAGGAAAUUCUUCAGGCUGAAGGGAAAUGACAUCAGAUGAAUCUCAGAUCUACAGGGAGCAAUGAAGAAUACCAGAAAUGAUCUAUAUGUAGAUUUCAUAAAGAGAAAGUUAUUGUUCCGCUGCCUGUAGUGAAGAAAGCAAGAACAAGAUAGGAGAGAAAUGGACGCAAUUUAGAGGAACAAUGUGAUCAUCUGGAAACAGAAGAAAGCGGUCCAAUGAGGUCUGCAAUGAUGAUGGUGAUUGCUCCUGAUUCCAACCUUGCCAAAGGAGUGUAAAGAAUAGCUUUUCUUCUUGGGUUGCUAUAAACCUGGUUUCUAGGCACUCACAGUGUGAAUAUUUUAUAGGCCUUAAAAUCCAAGAGCAUGAAUUAUUCAGAGAUCUAAGCACUUCUGGAAAAGACAUUUUACAUACUUUACAUCAGGGAAGACUUCUUUGCCUUCUGACUUGUAAAUCACAUGUAACAAGAAUAAAAUUUAGCCAGCACCACCAAUUUUGGUAAAAGACUUAAAUCUAAAAUCAAAGUAAAGGAUGGGGAGCAUUGACUUCUAAAGAGACUUUAAUUUCAUAACUAUAUAAUAAUCUCCCCCAGUAAUAUCCUUGUUAACUUUUAAUUAUUCAAAAUGUGGGUUAUUUGGUGAAUCCUCCCCUCCAGUACUGCUCAAUGCCGUUGAUUCACAGCCUGAAAUAUCCAAUUACCCGCAUGACAUCUCCUGGCUGUCUCAAAAUCACCUCAAAAUCAACAGGUCAGGACCCAAAUUCAUGAUCUCCUCCUCCAAACCUGAUCCCCUUCCAGGAUUCCCUGCAAUGAAUGAAUGGACCACCCAUCCAGUUUUACAAGCCAGAAACCCAGGGGUCAUCCCUGCUGCUUCUUUCUUCCCUCUGACAUCUAAUCCACCACCCGACUAUGCCUCCUUACUUCAGUCCUUCUCCAGCACCGCAUGACCCAAGUACUCCC